rnacentral:rRNA from 1 species
UAUACGACUCUCGGCAACGGAUAUCUCGGCUCUCGCAUCGAUGAAGAACGUAGCGAAAUGGGAUACUUGGUGUGAAUUGCAGAAUCCCGUGAACCAUCGAGUCUUUGAACGCAAGUUGCGCCCGAGGCCUUUCGGUUGAGGGCACGCCUGCCUGGGCGUCACGC